AAUAGAUACCCAGGUAGUCCACGCCGUAAACGAUGAGUGCUAAGUGUUGGAGGGUUUCCGCCUUUCAGUGCUGCAGCUAACGCAUUAAGCACUCCGCCUGGGGAGUACGGUCGCAAGACUGAAACUCAAAGGAAUUGACGGGGGCCCGCACAAGCGGUGGAGCAUGUGGUUUAAUUCGAAGCAACGCGAAGAACCUUACCAGGUCUUGACAUCUCCUGACCGCCCUGGAGACAGGGUCUUCCCUUCGGGGACAGGAUGACAGGUGGUGCAUGGUUGUCGUCAGCUCGUGUCGUGAGAUGUUGGGUUAAGUCCCGCAACGAGCGCAACCCUUGGUUCUAGUUGCCAGCAUUGAGUUGGGCACUCUAGAGCGACUGCCGGCGACAAGUCGGAGGAAGGUGGGGAUGACGUCAAUCAUCAUGCCCCUUAUGACCUGGGCUACACACGUGCUACAAUGGAUGGUACAAAGGGCAGCAAAGCGGCGACGCAUGAGCGAAUCCCAGAAAACCAUUCUC
rnacentral:rRNA from 1 species